GAUGAACGCUGGCGGCGUGCCUAACACAUGCAAGUCGAACGGAAACGCAGUAAGUUCUUGUUCUGACGGAGUGGCGAACGGGUGAGUAACACGUAGGUAACCUGCCCUAUAUUUUGGGAUAACUUCAGGAAACGAAAGCUACUACCGUAUCGCAUCCGAUCUUGCAUGGUAAGUGUUGGAAAGUCGCAACUGGUGCGCUUGCAGGAGCCGAUGUCGGGUUAGCUAGUGGGGGGGGUAAAGGCCCACCAGGGGGCGGAUACGCAGCUGGUCGGAGAGGAGGAUCGCCCACAUGGGAACUGGGACACGGCCAAGACCCCUCAGGGAGGCACCAGAGGGGAACAUUGGACAAUGGGGGCAAGCCUGACCCAGCGAGACGGCGUGGGUGAAAAAGGCGUCCGGUUGGAAAAGCCCGUUUUUUGGGAAAAAAAAGCAUCAGGUUGAUACGCAGCUGCUGUGACGGUAACCAAAGAAUAAGCACCGGCUAACUACGUG
rnacentral:rRNA from 1 species